AGCGAACGCUGGCGGCAGGCCUAACACAUGCAAGUCGAACGAACCCUUCGGGGUUAGUGGCGGACGGGUGAGUAACACGUGGGAACGUGCCUUUAGGUUCGGAAUAACUCAGGGAAACUUGUGCUAAUACCGAAUGUGCCCUUCGGGGGAAAGAUUUAUCGCCUUUAGAGCGGCCCGCGCCUGAUUAGCUAGUUGGUGAGGUAAUGGCUCACCAAGGCUACGAUCAGUAGCUGGUCUGAGGGGAUGACCAGCCACAUUGGGACUGAGACACGGCCCAAACUCCUACGGGAGGCAGCAGUGGGGAAUCUUGCGCAAUGGGCGAAAGCCUGACGCAGCCAUGCCGCGUGGAUGAUGAAGGUCUUAGGAUUGUAAAAUCCUUUCACCGGUGAAGAUAAUGACUGUAGCCGGAGAAGAAGCCCCAGCUAACUUCGUGCCAGCCGCCGCCGUAAUAC
rnacentral:rRNA from 1 species